rnacentral:rRNA from 1 species
GACGAACGCUGGCGGCGUGCCUAAUACAUGCAAGUUGAGCGCUGAAGGUUGGUACUUGUACCAACUGGAUGAGCAGCGAACGGGUGAGUAACGCGUGGGGAAUCUGCCUUUGAGCGGGGGACAACAUUUGGAAACGAAUGCUAAUACCGCAUAAAAACUUUAAACACAAGUUUUAAGUUUGAAAGAUGAAAUUGCAUCACUCAAAGAUGAUCCCGCGUUGUAUUAGCUAGUUGGUGAGGUAAAGGCUCACCAAGGCGAUGAUACAUAGCCGACCUGAGAGGGUGAUCGGCCACACUGGGACUGAGACACGGCCCAAACUCCUACGGGAGGCAGCAGUAGGGAAUCUUCGGCAAUGGACGAAAGUCUGACCGAGCAACGCCGCGUGAGUGAAGAAGGUUUUCGGAUCGUAAAACUCUGUUGGUAGAGAAGAACGUUGGUGAGAGUGGAAAGCUCAUCAAGUGACGGUAACUACCCAGAAAGGGACGGCUAACUACGUGCCAGCCGCCGCGGUAA